UACGGAGGAUCCGAGCGUUAUCCGGAUUUAUUGGGUUUAAAGGGAGCGUAGGCGGGUUGUUAAGUCAGUUGUGAAAGUUUGCGGCUCAACCGUAAAAUUGCAGUUGAUACUGGCAUCCUUGAGUACAGUAGAGGUAGGCGGAAUUCGUGGUGUAGCGGUGAAAUGCUUAGAUAUCACGAAGAACUCCGAUUGCGAAGGCAGCCUGCUGGACUGUAACUGACGCUGAUGCUCGAAAGUGUGGGUAUCAGACAGG
rnacentral:rRNA from 1 species